CCUCAGACACGUGUGUGUGUGUGACACACAUCCCCACACUUGGCUGGGACAGGACUGUGGCACUAGGUGAUGGGGGUGUUUAGUUGGUUUGUGGUUUGGGGGUGGUGGAGGUUGUGUAUCGCUACAUCGGCUGACUGCCUACUCUCCACGUGGCUGGGACAGGACUGUGGCAGUAGGUGAUGGGGGUGUUUAGUUGGUUUGUGGUUUGGGGGUGGUGGAGGUUGUGUAUCGUUACACCGGCUGACUGCCUACUGUCCAGGUGGCUAGGACAGGACUGUGGCAGUAGGUGAUGGGGGUGUUUAGUUGGUUUGUGGUUUGGGGGUGGUGGAGGUUGUGUAU